rnacentral:rRNA from 1 species
AAAUUAAUUAUUUUAAAUUUUAAUAAAAAUAAUUUUUAGUUUUAGUAAUUUUUUGAAAAAAUUUAUAUAUUAAUUAUAGAGAAAUAGUAUUGUGAAAGAAUUUUUUUUUACUAAAAAAAAAGAAAUUAUUAUUUAAUGUACCUUGUGUAUCAGGGCUUAUUAAAUUAAAUUAAAUUAUUUUAAUUUCUCGAAUUAAGAAGAGUUAUUAAUUUAUAAAUUUUAUUGUAAAAUAAAUAUUUUUAAUAAAUUAAUUGAAAUGAAAUGUUAUUCGUUUUUUAAUAUAUCUAGUUUUAAUUUAAAUAAAUUUAAUUUAUUAGUUAAUAAUUUUGUAAAUAUAUUUUUUAAAAAAUUGAUUAAUUAAAAAUAUUUUUUGGGAUAAUCUAAAAAAUAAAUUCUAUAUUUAAAAAUAAAAUAUUAAAUUAAAUGUAGAAUUAAUAAUAUUUAUCAUUAAUAUUUUGUUAUAAUUAAUAUUUUCAGUUUUAAAAAAUUUUAAAAUAAAGUAGUUUUUUAAAUUAAAAUUUUAUAAAAUAGUAGUUUAAAAUUUAUAAUGAUAAGAUUAGUAUAUAUAUAUAUAAUUUAUAAGAUUUAAUUAUUUUAAAAAUUAAUUAAAGGAAUUCGGCAAAAUUAAUUUUCGACUGUUUAUUAAAAACAUUUCUUUUUGAUAUUAAUUUAAAGUAUGUUCUGCCCAAUGAUUUAUUUAAUGGCUGCAGUAUUAUGACUGUACAAAGGUAGCAUAAUCAUUAGUUUUUUUAUUGAAAGCUGGAAUGAAUGAAUCUACGAAAAAUUAACUGUCUCUAUUUAAAAUAUAAAAUUUUAUAUUUAAGUAAAAAAGCUUAAAUUUAAUUAAAAGACGAGAAGACCCUAUAGAGUUUUAUAUUUUAAAAAUAAAAAUUAUUUUAAAAAUAUUUUAUUGGGGUGAUAGAAAAAAAUACUUAACUUUUUUUAUAUUUAAACAAUAAUAUUUGAACAAUUGAUCCAUUUUAUUGAUUAUAAGAUUAAAUUACCUUAGGGAUAACAGCGUAAUAUUUUUUUAAAGUUCAUAUUAAAAAAAAUGAUUGCGACCUCGAUGUUGGAUUAAAAUUAAUUACAUGUGCAGAAGCUUGUGAAUUAAGUCUGUUCGACUUUUAAAAUUUUACAUGAUCUGAGUUUAAACCGGUGUAAGCCAGGUUGGUUUCUAUCUUUAAUAAUUUAAAAUAUUUUAGUACGAAAGGACCUUAUAUU